rnacentral:rRNA from 1 species
AGUCGAACGGUAACAGGUCUUCGGACGCUGACGAGUGGCGAACGGGUGAGUAAUACAUCGGAACGUGCCCAGUCGUGGGGGAUAACUACUCGAAAGAGUAGCUAAUACCGCAUACGAUCUGAGGAUGAAAGCGGGGGACCUUCGGGCCUCGCGCGAUUGGAGCGGCCGAUGGCAGAUUAGGUAGUUGGUGGGAUAAAAGCUUACCAAGCCGACGAUCUGUAGCUGGUCUGGGAGGACGACCAGCCACACUGGGACUGAGACACGGCCCAGACUCCUACGGGAGGCAGCAGUGGGGAAUUUUGGACAAUGGGCGAAAGCCUGAUCCAGCAAUGCCGCGUGCAGGAUGAAGGCCUUCGGGUUGUAAACUGCUUUUGUACGGAACGAAAAAGCUUCUCCUAAUACGAGAGGCCCAUGACGGUACCGUAAGAAUAAGCACCGGCUAACUACGUGCCAGCAGCCGCGGUAAUACGUAGGGUGCGAGCGUUAAUCGGAAUUACUGGGCGUAAAGCGUGCGCAGGCGGUUAUGUAAGACAGAUGUGAAAUCCCCGGGCUCAACCUGGGAACUGCAUUUGUGACUGCAUGGCUAGAGUACGGUAGAGGGGGAUGGAAUUCCGCGUGUAGCAGUGAAAUGCGUAGAUAUGCGGAGGAACACCGAUGGCGAAGGCAAUCCCCUGGACCUGUACUGACGCUCAUGCACGAAAGCGUGG